rnacentral:rRNA from 2 species
UUGGAUCCAGACUUUGAUUCUGGCUCAGGACGAACGCUGGCGGCGUGCUUAACACAUGCAAGUCGAACGGGGUGUUUAUUUCGGUAAACACCAAGUGGCGAACGGGUGAGUAACGCGUAAGCAAUCUACCUUCAAGAUGGGGACAACACUUCGAAAGGGGUGCUAAUACCGAAUGAAUGUAAGAGUAUCGCAUGGGACACUUACUAAAGGAGGCCUCUGACAUAAGCUUCCGCUUGAAGAUGAGCUUGCGUCUGAUUAGCUAGUUGGUGAGGGUAAGGGCCCACCAAGGCAACGAUCAGUAGCCGGUCUGAGAGGAUGAGCGGCCACAUUGGGACUGAGACACGGCCCAGACUCCUACGGGAGGCAGCAGUGGGGAAUCUUCCGCAAUGGGCGAAAGCCUGACGGAGCAACGCCGCGUGAACGAUGAAGGUCUUAGGAUCGUAAAGUUCUGUUGUUAGGGACGAAGGGUAAGGAUCAUAAUAAGGUUUUUAUUUGACGGUACCUAACGAGGAAGCCACGGCUAACUACGUGCCAGCAGCCGCGGUAAUACGUAGGCGGCAAGCGUUGUCCGGAAUUAUUGGGCGUAAAGGGAGCGCAGGCGGGAAACUAAGCGGAUCAUAAAAGUGCGGGGCUCAACCCCGUGAUGGGGUCCGAACUGGUUUUCUUGAGUGCAGGAGAGGAAAGCGGAAUUCCCAGUGUAGCGGUGAAAUGCGUAGAUAUUGGGAAGAACACCAGUGGCGAAGGCGGCUUUCUGGACUGUAACUGACGCUGAGGCUCGAAAGCUAGGGUAGCGAACGGGAUUAGAUACCCCGGUAGUCCUAGCCGUAAACGAUGGAUACUAGGUGUGGGAGGUAUCGACUCCUUCCGUGCCGGAGUUAACACAAUAAGUAUCCCGCCUGGGGAGUACGGCCGCAAGGUUGCAACUCAAAGGAAUUGACGGA